GGCUGGCAUUUGCAGCUGAGUGAUAGUUUCUAACAAGCCACGGCAGCCAUGGCUCUGCUGGAGCUGCCUCAGAGCAGCGCCAUGUGAGGGUGCUUCCCGCCUUUUUUAGCCAGCCCAGCAGGGUUACAGUGCUGUCCUGGGGCCUCGUUACCUCGUUCUUUGUGUGGGACCCUGGUCUAAUUGCCUGUGCAGCACCACCUGGUCCCAUCACCUGCACAGCUGUCCCAGUAACAAAGGCGAGAGCUUUCCUCAUGGAGGUCCCUGUGGUAGCACCUUCUGGAGGCAGCUGUGGAGAGCUUGAUGGAGCCUCACUUCAGGACAUCCCGAGGAGAGAUUUCUUCAAGUGUCACUCCUGGUGUCCUGGCAGGCCUGCUGGUGUUUGGGACAGACAGACAGCCAUGGUUAGUGUGAGGAGCCAGCUGGAUGGGUGGCCAUUGGGUUCCCUGCAGAAGCAGCUCUUUGCUGUGUUCCUGCACCAGCAGCAGGGCACAGGAGAACCUUUGCUCAGAGGCACUGGUCUACUACAGGAAGAAAGUGCCACUUUGUGGGUAAUAUGUCAGAUGAAGAUGGAAGAGACCUGUUAAACUCCUGGAUUCUGCCACUGGUCUUCUGAGAGCGCUUGGGCUACUUCACCAACUGCACAACCCUGAUGUUUUAGAUAAGUGGCUUUAGAAGCCAUACAUUCUAAUAAGUAGGUGUUAUUUCUAAGGACUGAAGUGCACCUUGACUUUAGCCAGAACCUUGGCAAAGAAGAUGCCUUCACCACGUUGUACCUGUCUGGGGCUUUCCUGCUCUGUUAACCUCCUGAGCAGCAUUACAGUAGCUGCAAGAACAGUUCACUGGUGCAGUCAUCCGCUCACAGAAGCUCUGUGCUGUGUUCACGAGGAAAGACUGGGAGAUGGAGGGGAGGAAGUAGAUUGGAUCCAGCUCAUCGUAAUGAGGAAAGCCUGUCCCAGUCAGGGAUGGAUUCAAUUAGGAGGCCGGAGAAAUAUGGAUGAGAUGGGGAGGGCACCAGGACAUCUGGGGCUGCCACUGCUAGCAAGAAUAAAGGUGCUUUGCAUAAGAACAGGAUGCAAUCAUAAGAGAAGAGAAAUCUGCUCCCAAGUAGCUCUGAUUUCCCCCUCCCUUCUACAGUGCACAACAAGGUACAGAUUAGACCAUUACACCCAGGGGAAGCCACAGAGUCGCACUCUUUUUCAUGGACAGUAGCAGGAAA
rnacentral:lncRNA from 7 species